rnacentral:sRNA from 1 species
UGCAGGUGCAUGUACCUGUGCAUGUAUGGAAGCCAGAGGAAGAGCUGGGAUGGCUUAGAGUUACAGGCAAGUGCUCUCAAGUGCUCUCAACUGCUCGGCUGUGUCAGGCCCCCACGCUUAAUGUCUUCAGAAGCCUCGGUUUUCCAGCAUGAUGCUCCAUUUUACAUCCUGCCGUGCAUGGGAACUGCAGCCCUUCCCUGUCUUGGUGGGGGUAGACCUGUGCCACUAUUCAGAGGGAAGGGAAGAGAAGUUCAUUGUGACUUUUGCAUUUCCCGUAUGAUAAAUGAUUAGAAUAUUAACACGAUCACGGUAAAUUGUUUUUAAUCCCAUGGACAUGAAACACAGAGGCAGUUGGAAGAGCCUUCCUUGUUGUACAUGGUAACAAAUAAUAGGAAGUGGCUCCCGACAGUCAGGGAGUGGCUCGAAGUAAACUGUGAGGUGACAGUAUAAUGACCUGUGUGCCCUUCAGAUGACAGAGGCCUGUAAUCAACAGGAGAAUGUACUCAUGAUAAAGUGAAGGGACAGAAAGACAAAGUGACAGUUUCUACAAAGCUCUCAGUCCUGCUUAUAUGUGCACACAGAACUCAGGUCCUCUGUAAGAACAGAACAAGCUCUGGGCUCCUGGCCAUUUCCAGCCCCAGUACAUUUAGUCAGUUUUAAUGGAACAUAUUCCUUCCACUCACAUCUUCCAGGCACACUGAAAACUGUCCCCUGGCUGAGCACAUGGCCCAGCAAGCCCUUACUGUAGGAGAACAGGCAGACGAGGUCCCCAUCAAACAGUGAUUCUAAUGCAGGGCCUCUGGUGUUUCUCACUGUCUCACCCCCACACCCUCUCUGUGUUUGUCUCAUUAGGAAUCUGUUUGUUCCAUUGUUACUGUGUCUCAUCCAUUAGCUGAUCAAUAUGGGAAGUGUUGGGAUAGAGAGAUGGCUCAGCAGUUAAGAGUACACAGUGUUCUUGCUUCAGAGGAAGAAAGUUCAGUUCCCAGCACCCACGCCGGGCAGCUCAUAACCACCUGUCACUCCAAGUCCAGGGGAUCCAGUGUCUCUGGGCUUUGCAGACAUCUAUAGUCAUCACAUGUGUAUACCCACACAUAUAUUUUUUUAAAUAAAAUAAGCCCUAAAAAUGUGUGUGUCAUGUGAAUGGUAGGUAACGUGUUUCUUUUUAUGCAAGUGACAGAUCCUUUCUUACUAGUGCUUCUGGUGACUCUCCAGCUAGAUGUCUUGGUGUGCCGGAGACAGUCUGAUUGGAUUGCUGGGGAAGGCAGGAGCACUGAGCUUGGUGUGGGAGCAGCUUGGUUCAAUUUAGACUCCUCACUUCUGAGUGUGGUGAGACCCCUGCUGUGUACAGAGGUCCGUGGGUGUGUGUUCUGAGAUAGACCCCUGCUGCGUACAGAGGUCAGUGGGAGUGUGUUCUGAGAUAGACCCCUGCUGUAUACAGAGGUCCGUGGGUGUGUGUUCUGAGAUAGACCCCUGCUGUGUACAGAGGUCAGUGGGAGUGUGUUCUGAGAUAGACCCCUGCUUCGUACAGAGGUCAGUGGGAGUGUGUUCUGAGAUAGACCCCUGCUGUGUACAGAGGUCAGUGGGUGUGUGUUCUGAGAUAGACCCCUGCUGCGUACAGAGGUCAGUGGGAGUGUGUUCUGAGAUAGACUCCUGCUGUGUACAGAUGUCAGUGGGAGUGUGUUCUGAGAUAGACCCCUGCUGUGUACAGGUGUCAGUGGGAGUAUGUUCUGAGUGUGGUGAGACAUAACACACUGGUUCUCAGAUUUAAUCCUCCAUUCUCAGUGGCACAGAUUACUUCAGAUGUGGCCUUGUGACUUCUUGGGCCGCUGAGAAGUGGCAGGAAGGUUGCAGGCCAGCUGGAGAAAGGGAUUUCCUCCCCUAAAAGGAACAAGCACUUACUGUGUGGUUGUAUUUGUUCCACUGAGAAUGGGCAAUUUCUGUUGUGGCAUUCUUUGUAUUUGUGUGAGAAUUUAGUGCCUAAGCCUGGAGCAGACAUCCUAGCCCUUGACAGGAAAAGGUAGGUUAAGAGUCAGCUCACUCCUGUGCUCAGUCUCAAGGAGCUGUGUCUUUUCUUUUGCAUAAGCCAGAGCCCAUAUCCUACUCCUCUGCAUGGGGGAGCCUCAGCCGUGACAGUGGGCAGCUGGGUGGUCUCUCUGUGCACUGCAAGAAGUUUGUUAACAUCCUGGCCUCUUGUCCACUGCAGGCCAGUACACCUUCUCCCCUCCUCCACCCCAAAGAGGAAAAGUCAUAAAUGUCUCCAGAGAUCCCCAAAUGUUCCCCAAGGGACAGCAUCACCCUAGACUUUUGGUUUUAUAAGUUACAAUAUGUUUUUUUUUUAUUUAAAACUUCAUGGUUGUAUAGUCUGUGUCCAUACAGCCAAAUGCUUCCCAACCAAGCCCAUCUUUUAACCUUAUCCAGUAAAAGUGUUUGUGUGUCCUUCAAAGAUGCAAAAUGGGGCUGAGGCUAGAGCUGAGUUUGCCUGGUACACGCCAGGCCAGCUUCUACCCCAAUAGUGCUGCCAAGAGGGAAAUGAAGGAGUGAGGUUUGCUGAGAGUGUAGCUCAGGGGCAGAGCCCUUGCCGAGAGUGUCAGAGGUCCUGGGUUCAAACCUCUAGAUAAAAAAUUAAAACAAGCCAGUCUUCCUGUGACUCCAGACACCAGAAAGGCACAGAAUGCCUGCUGCCAAUCCUUAGCCUCUGUCUGCAUUGUUGCAGCUGGCGGCUCUGUAGGCUCGAUGGACCAGGGCUCUUCCUGAGUCACUGUGGAGGCUAAGCACAGAGUCUCGUUGUGUUUCUGAGGCUCCAUGUCCUUCCAGUGCCCUGUAUGCCAACCACAGUAUCCAGCUCUUUGUCUCGAGUGUCUCUGGACAAGUUUCAGAGAGAACAGAGCUGGGGCCUCUGCUCUGCUAGAGCAAGCCAGGCUCACAUGACGUCAUCGUCCUCUGCAGCACACUCCUCUGCGUACUGGUACUGCCUCUUCCCACCCAGGCACCAAGAGCUUUCCUUAACAGACUCACCACCCCGUACUUGAUCCCUUGUUUCUGAACCAGGAAAGCAAACAGCCGAGAGAAGGAGGAUCAGGAUAGGAUCAAACCAGACCACAGCUGAUGAAAUCAAGCGCCCCACCCCUAUGUGUCUAUGGAGAGCUGUGACCUUCACUCCAGUAUGGGACUCUGAAUUACAUCCCUUGACAUUCUUGCCCCAUUUGGUCAAUGGCUAUAAGAAUUUGCCCAUUGUUGAAUUGACAUGCAUCUCAGGGUCCUGCUACAUGUAUUUUAUUUAUGUGUAUGUGUAUGUGUGUGUGCAGCCACCGAGAUGGCACGAGUGUGGAAGACAGAUCACAGGGAUUGAACUCAGGUCCUCAGGUUUUUUAAAUCCUUUACCAGCUGAGUCGUCUCCCAGACCCUGCUGCAGGGCUUUGUGUGCUCCUAGGGAACAGAGCACUGGGCCUUGACCCAACUUCUCAGCAGCCAUUCUGUGGUCAGUCAGCUCCAGCUGAGGAGGACCCGCCUGCUGUGAGACUCAGAGAUCUCUGGAAGGUAGUAUGGGGGCAGUGCCCGCUGCAUUCUCCUAUGCGAUUUCCGGAGAACACUGUGUUCUACCAGUAAGCAGUGCUCUGAGACUAGUGCUUUAGGAUUUGUGACAGCUCUGUCCCCAGGGUGUUCUUUCCUUCUGUCCUGGCUCAGGCCUUAACAAAUGGAUCCAUAUAAGCUUUGCUGCCAGACUUACACAUGUCAUUUGUAUGUAGACGACAGUAUGUUUAAAAGGGAAAGAAUGGCAACUCCAGAUGCCACACAGGAAGCCUGCCUCCCUUUGCUCUCCGGCAUGUGCGUGUGGUUCUUCAUUCUUAGUACUUCCCAGUUCUCAGCAUCACGUGUAGGGCUAGCUUUCCCCCCUCCUUCCCUCCCGAUCCUUUCUGUAGAACUCAGAGGCCCAGCUCCUGCCUGGCAUGGCGGUCAGUUCUGAGUCUGUGAGCUCUUGGCCCCAGAGGGGUGAUUGCCUCUGUAAGUGCCUGUGUAGGCAGUUUCCCCAAAAGCAGAGUUUUUGUGUUUAGUGACGUCCAUAUGCUCUGGUAGCUGUCAAGUGGCCAGAAUGUGAAGUACUGUUGAACAGAACCCAAGCCUAGAAAAGUGGGAGAGCCCUGCAGAGCACUGUAUCUGCUCUGAGCUCCUGUGUGGGGAGGCGAGGCAAAUAGAGAUGAGUGUUCAGAUGGGGAAGUUAGUGGAUCUUACUUAUCACGGGCUGCGGAAGGCGGCUCUGGCUGUAAAGGACUUGGUUUAUGAGUCUCAGGACCCUAGAACCCAUGUAGGCUGGCACAUGCCUGUAGUCCAGGACUGAGGAGGCUCACUGGGCUGCCAGCCUAGCUGCAGCUCUUCAGUGCCAAGUUCAGUAAGAGACUUUGUCCCAGUAGAUAAGGUGGAAGGGGACAGGAGACACCUGACGUCAGCCUCUGGCUCCACACGCGCAUGGAAGCCACACGCAGAGGAAUCCAAAUGGAGCAUCCACGUGUGUGUCAUGUUGCUGCUUGAGCUCGGUGUGUUUCUUGUGUUGGGUCCAUCCCGGGAGACAUACCUGUAAUCCCAGCACUCAGAAGACUGAGGCAGGAGGAUCACGGUGAGAUGUUGUCUCAAAAAUGUAUGAGUUCGCUGUCCUGGCACAUUGACUGCUGUGUCAUCACAGACAAGAGAUUGGGGCGCCCCAUGUUGUUUAAGAACCUGUUACUCAUGAUGCAUGUCUGCACGCACGCAUGCAUGUGUCCACGGAGGGCGGUGCUUUAAUGUGGGAGAGAUAUGUGAGAAGAGGUGCACCAGUGUGUGCAUGUGCAGGGCUAUGUCUUUGUAUGUGUGAGAUGUCACUGUGUAUUGUAUGCUAGUGAUCCUGUAAAAGUGUGCACAUACAUGUGCAGAGGCGUGUAUAUGCAUGUGUGGGCUGUAUGUCUCUGUGUGUAUGUGUGCCUGCACACUAAGUGUUAAGGUACUGUGAGUGAGGUGGAGGCCCUGUGCGUCUCGGCUCCUUUUAGUGUUUAACAUUUAUGACCAGCCAGUGAGGAGGUGGCAGCACAUUCUCUGUGUGAAGAAAAGCCUUGGGACACCCAGGUAGCCUGCGAUAGCCUGGCAGCCAGCUCCUGAGAGGAGGGGCCCGACUCAGACCCAGUCCGAGUGGUGUAGACCCCUGGCCUUACUGUGAACUCUUUAUGGGAGCAUUGUUUUCUGGAUGGAGCCCACUCUGGUUAAUAAAAAGUGUUGUCUCUCUCUGCCCAGCCAGCAGCUGUGCUUGGCCCCUGGGCCUGGCCUGCACCAGCCAGCUCCCUUCAUCUUUCUGUCUCUCCUUUUGUGACUGUUCUAGUCCAAAUCCUUAGUCCAAGGAUACUCACCACCCAGCAGCAGCUCAGAACCCUAGCUGAUAGUA